rnacentral:rRNA from 1 species
UACGGAGGGUGCGAGCGUUGUCCGGAAUCACUGGGCGUAAAGGGCGCGUAGGCGGCGCGGUUAGUCGGCGGUGAAAGCCCGAGACUCAACUUCGGGUCGGCCGUCGAUACUGCUGCGCUGGAGCACUGUAGAGGCAGAUGGAAUUCCGGGUGUAGCGGUGGAAUGCGUAGAGAUCCGGAAGAACACCGGUGGCGAAGGCGGUCUGCUGGGCAGUUGCUGACGCUGAUGCGCGACAGCGUGGGGAGCAAACAGG